rnacentral:tRNA from 1 species
GCGCCCGUAGCUCAACUGGAUAGAGCAUCUGGCUACGGACCAGAAGGUUGGGGAUUCGAGCUCCUCCGGGCGCGC